rnacentral:pre_miRNA from 1 species
AAAAAGACAAACCCUGGGUUUCCGUGUCCAACGUUUGACCGUCCGUCUUAUUUGAAAAAAUUAUGAAAAAAAUUAAAAGGAUAAGUCACGCAUAAAGUAUUAAUCAUGUUUUAUCAUCUAACAACAAUGAAAAUACUAAUUAUAAAAAAAUUUCAUAUAAGACGGACAGUCAAACGUUGGACACGUAGAUCCAGGGUUUGUUUUUUU